AUGGUAGCUGGCAGGGGAGAUAUCAUGAUCAUGAGAGUGGUUUUCACAGGGUGAGGCUCAUCUAUUGCACUCUGUUUGUGCUGAUCCUUGUAAUUCUUGCAAAUGCAGGAAACAUGGUUGCACAAUUUGUGGUAGUGGUAAAACUGUAUUUGCACCUUACCC